rnacentral:rRNA from 1 species
UACAUGGGGUGCAAACGUUGCUCGGAAUUAUUGGGCGUAAAGCGCACGUAGGCGGUUCGUUAAGUCGGAUGUGAAAGCCCUCGGCUCAACUGAGGAAGUGCACCCGAAACUGGCGAGCUUGAGUACGAAAGAGGACCGCGGAAUUCCCGGUGUAGAGGUGAAAUUCGUAGAUAUCGGGAGGAACACCGGUGGCGAAGGCGGCGAUCUGGGUCGAUACUGACGCUGAGGUGCGAAAGCGUGGGGAGCAAACAGG